rnacentral:rRNA from 1 species
CAGCAGCCGCGGUAAUACGUAGGGUGCGAGCGUUAAUCGGAUUUACUGGGCGUAAAGCGUGCGCAGGCGGCCCGUUAAGACAGGUGUGAAAUCCCUGGGCUCAACCUAGGAAUUGCGCUUGUGACUGGCGGGCUCGAGUACGGUAGAGGGGGGUGGAAUUCCUGGUGUAGCAGUGAAAUGCGUAGAGAUCAGGAGGAACACCGAUGGCGAAGGCAGCCCCCUGGGCCUGUACUGACGCUCAUGCACGAAAGCGUGGGGAGCAAACAGGAUUAGAUACCCUGGUAGGCCACGCCCUAAACGAUGGGUACUAGCCGUUUGGUGCGCGAUAGCGCUGAGUGGCGAAGCUAACGCGUGAAGUACCCCGCCUGGGGAGUACGGCCGCAAGGUUGAAACUUGAAGGAAUUGGCGGG